rnacentral:rRNA from 1 species
GAACGCUGGCGGUAGGCCUAACAUCUGCAAGUCGUACGGCAGCACAGUAAGAGCUUGCUCUUACGGGUGGCGAGUGGUGGACGGGUGAGGAAUACAUCGUAAUCUACUUUUUCUUGGGGGAUAACGUAGGGAAACUUACGCUAAUACCGCAUACGACCUACUGGUGAAAGCAUGGGAUCUUCUUACCUUGCGCGUUUUAAUUAUCCGAUGUCGGAUUAGCUAGUUGGCGGGGGAAAGGCCCACCAAGGCGACGAUCCGUAGCUGGUCUGAGAGGAUGAUAAGACAAACUGGAACUGAGACACGGUCCAGACGACUACGGGAGGCAGCAGUGGGGAAUAUUGGACAAUGGGCGCAAGCAUGAUACAGCAAUACCGCGUGGGUGAAGAAGGCCUUCGGGUUGUAAAGCCCUUUUGUUGGGAAAGAAAAGCAGCAGGUUAAUACCCCGCUGUUCUGACGGUACCCAAAGAAUAAGCACCGGCUAACUUCGUG